GACGAACGCUGGCGGCGUGCUUAACACAUGCAAGUCGAACGGAAAGGCCUCUUUCGGGGGGUACUCGAGUGGCGAACGGGAGAGUAACACGUGAGUAACCUGCCCUUGACUUUGGGAUAACUUCAGGAAACUGGGGCUAAUACCGGAUAGGAGCUCCUGCUGCAUGGUGGGGGUUGGAAAGUUUCGGCGGUUGGGGAUGGACUCGCGGCUUAUCAGCUUGUUGGUGGGGUAGUGGCUUACCAAGGCUUUGACGGGUAGCCGGCCUGAGAGGGUGACCGGCCACAUUGGGACUGAGAUACGGCCCAGACUCCUACGGGAGGCAGCAGUGGGGAAUAUUGCACAAUGGGUGGAAGCCUGAUGCAGCAACGCCGUGUGCGGGAUGACGGCCUUCGGGUUGUAAACCGCUUUCGCUCAUGACGAAGCUUUGUGUGACGGUAGUGGGUAAAGAAGCACCGGCUAACUACGUG
rnacentral:rRNA from 1 species